GCUCUGCCGCCUGCCACCGCUGCCCGAGCCCGAGUGGUUCACUGCACCGUGAAGACAGAUUCCAGACGCCAGGAACUCACGCCUCCAAUCCCAGACACUAUGUCCAGCAAAGGCUCCGUGGUUCUGGCCUACAGUGGCGGCCUGGACACCUCGUGCAUCCUCGUAUGGCUGAAGGAACAAGGCUACGACGUCAUUGCCUAUCUGGCCAACAUUGGCCAGAAGGAAGACUUCGAGGAAGCCAGGAAGAAGGCACUGAAGCUUGGGGCCAAAAAGGUGUUCAUUGAGGAUGUCAGCAGGGAGUUUGUGGAGGAGUUCAUCUGGCCGGCCAUCCAGUCCAGCGCACUGUAUGAGGACCGCUACCUCCUGGGCACCUCUCUCGCCAGGCCUUGCAUUGCCCGCAAACAAGUGGAAAUCGCCCAGCAGGAGGGGGCCAAGUAUGUGUCCCGUGGCGCCACGGGAAAGGGGAAUGAUCAGGUCCAGUUUGAGCUCACCUGCUACUUGCUGGCCCCCCAGAUAAAGGUCAUUGCUCCCUGGAGGAUGCCCGAAUUCUACAACCGGUUCAAGGGCCGCAAUGACCUGAUGGAAUACGCAAAGCAACACGGGAUUCCCAUCCCGGUCACCCCCAAGAGCCCAUGGAGUAUGGACGAGAACCUCAUGCACAUCAGCCAGGAGGCUGGAAUCCUGGAGAACCCCAAGAACCAAGCGCCUCCCGGUCUCUACACGAAGACCCAGGACCCGGCCAAAGCCCCCAACACCCCUGACAUUCUCGAGAUCGAGUUCAAAAAAGGGGUCCCCGUGAAGGUGACCAACGUCAAGGAUGGCACCACUCACCAGACCUCCUUGGAGCUCUUCAUGUACCUGAACGAAGUCGCGGGCAAGCAUGGUGUGGGCCGUAUUGACAUCGUGGAGAACCGCUUCAUUGGAAUGAAGUCCCGAGGUAUCUACGAGACCCCAGCAGGCGCCAUCCUUUACCACGCUCAUUUAGAUGAGGCCUUCACCAUGGACGGAGAAGUGCGCAAAAUCAAACAAGGCCUGGGCUUGAAAUUUGCUGAGCUGGUGUAUACCGGUUUCUGGCACAGCCCUCAGUGUGAAUUUGUCCGCCACUGCAUUGCCAAGUCCCAGGAGCAAGUGGAAGGGAAAGUGCAGGUGUCCGUCCUCAAGGGCCAGGUGUACAUCCUCAGCCGGGAGUCCGCACUGUCUCUCUACAACGAGGAGCUGGUGAGCAUGAACGUGCAGGGUGAUUAUGAGCCGAUUGAUGCCACCGGGUUCAUCAACAUCAAUUCCCUCAGGCUGAAGGAAUAUCAUCGUCUCCAGAGCAAGGUCACUGCCAAAUAGACCCCUGUACAAUGUGGAGCUGGGGCCUCCUCAAUUUGCAGAUCCCCCAAGUACAGGCACUAAUUGUUGUGAUAAUUUGUAAUUGUGACUUGCUCUCCCUGGCUGGCAGCGUAGUGGGGCUGCCAGGCCCCAGCUUUGUUCCCUGGUCCCCCUGAAGCCUGCAGACGUUGUGUUGUCACCGAAGGGAAGGGUGGGGGGCAGCUGCGGUGGGGAACUAUAAAAUGACAAUUAAAAGAUUAAAA